rnacentral:rRNA from 1 species
AUUGAACGCUGGCGGCAGGCUUAACACAUGCAAGUCGAACGAGUGGCGGACGGGUGAGUAAUGUAUGGGAAUUUCCCUUUUGGAGGGGGAUAACUACGGGAAACUGUAGCUAAUACCGCGUACCAUAGGAUGAGCCCAAGUGGGAUUAGUUAGUAGGUGAGGUAAAGGCUCACCAAGCCGACGACCCCUCGCUGGUCUGAGAGGAUGACCAUCCACACGGGAACUGAGAAACGGCCCAGUGUCUUACGGGAGGUCGACGUGGGGAAGAUUGGACAAGGGGGGCAACCGGACGCAGACAUGCGGCGUGAAGGAAGAAGGCCUUCGAGUUUUAAAGUUCUUUCGGUAGCGAGGCUUUAACUACAGAAGAAGCACCGGCUAACUCCGUGCCAGCAGCCGCGGUAAUAC